CGGACGGGUGAGUAACACGUGGAUAACCUACCUAUAAGACUGGGAUAACUUCGGGAAACCGGAGCUAAUACCGGAUAAUAUAUUGAACCGCAUGGUUCAAUAGUGAAAGACGGUUUUGCUGUCACUUAUAGAUGGAUCCGCGCUGCAUUAGCUAGUUGGUAAGGUAACGGCUUACCAAGGCAACGAUGCGUAGCCGACCUGAGAGGGUGAUCGGCCACACUGGAACUGAGACACGGUCCAGACUCCUACGGGAGGCAGCAGCG
rnacentral:rRNA from 1 species